UCCUUCCUUCCUUCCUUCCUUCCUAGGUAGCACCCGUCUUUAUUUUUUUUAAACCUUUGGUGUCAAAAUCUUACUGGGAAAGGAAGCUGUGAGGGGAAAGGGUCAGCCAACAGGAAAAUAUCGGGUGUUUCAUUUUCCUUUUGUAGGCUGGCAUGGGACAGAGCACAAUCUAGGAAGCUGUGUCGGAAGCGCUCACCUCUUGACACUGCUGCUAAUAGGUGGUUAUUACAGCCCAUUUUGCUGAGAGCUGAGGUUGGGCUCUGGCUGCUGCUCUGGUGAUAAAGCAUUUUACCUCAUCUAGAAACCAUAAAUACCACAAACUUUUAAAAUACUCCUCUGUAUUUCCUUUGUUAAAUUAAAUAUUGUUAUAAGUUUAGUAAGGGUAUAAAAAAAUGUGAUUACAUAAAACAGAAGCAUUACCUAGGUAAGGGAUUUAUUUUGAAAUGUGUGUCUAUAAAGUGCAAUUAUGGGUUGUUUUUAAAACAAGUCUGAAUGCAGAUGAACUGACAGUGGAUUCUGAAUAUUUUUGCACACUGAGAAAACUUUACAUUAAAGGGGAGUCUGCUUCAUGAGAAAAAUUCUGAUUUCAUAAUUGAUCACAGAUUGUUUGCUUUCAUUUCAUCUGUUGUUUUCCACUUUUAUAUAAAAUAUAUUCCUUUCUUCUGUUAUUUUUGUUUGUCAAUAUCUUUUUUUUUCCUUCCUUCCUGUAUUUCAGUAUAACUUAAUAUACUUUUGUUGGACAGAAAAUUCUAGUGCAAAAUGAAAGGUAGCCCGAUCACUAAGUUUAGUAAAAGAGAAGGGUGAGCUGCUGGUAACAGUCCACCUCCCACUAAUUCAGUUGAAAAUUCCUGUUGACUUCAUGGAAGCAAUAAGUGGUUAUAAAAUUCCCCAAAUUAAUAGCAAAGAUUUUAUAUGAACUUCAUGGUAAAAUCAGACAAUUCUAAACUUGUGAGAUAAGCAAAAUGUUCUUUAUUAUAACUGCAAUACUAACUUGACCAAACAGUUAGAUUAUCAGUAUUUUGCAUUAUUGAAAAUGUAGCUGACUCUGUAACUUUGAAAUAUAUGUCAUUAAAUACCCUCUCAAGGAAAGUCUAUGCUUUACAGUCCCAUUUUAGUAGGAGGAUUUAUUAAUGAUACAUAGUACAAAAGAGUAUUGACAUUACAGUGUCUUCUCAAGGCUGUAUGUCUCUGAAAUGAUGGCAGAUGUUCCUUAAAGCUUGAAAUUUUCAUACAUAUUGUGUAUAUUAUGAAGAGACUUACUUUUGCAUGGGCCUGAUCUGCAAGUGUUCUAAUUAAAACUAUUAGUUCUGAGUACAAGGUGCCUACUGCUCAGAGCUGUUUAAUCUUCAAGUGAGGUGUGCAAUAGAAACUUUGAAGAUCAAACCUUUUACCUUGUUGUCUCUUUUUCCUGUGUGUAAAAUAGGUCUCAUGUCUGGCUAGGUCAGGAAUAGACCUAACCAGGUCAGGAAUAGAUUUUUUGAAAAUGCACAACAUCAACUAAAGAAUUACAGUCAUAUUUCUACAUCAUAGCUAUAGUAGUUCUACCAUAGCAGAACUACUCUAUAGUUUUUGAUAAUUCACAAGUAACAAUGGCAUUAUCAUUAAAUACUGGGUAGUGCCUUACCAACAAAGAUGACAGGCAGCAAGACAGCUUACAAUCUCAGCAAACUGUAGGAUACCCUCCAAUAAACUGUUUCCUACUCAUGUGAAUAAUUCUCUUACAUCUACUCUGUUUUCUGAAACUUUGAUCAUUCUUCUGUUUUGAAAUACAUAUGAAUUUUAUUUUUCUCUAUAUAUGAAUAAGGGUUUCAAUCAGCAGUUUCCUAAAGAUUGCUUGAUCUUGUUUUGUUUUAUUUUUCUUUCUUGCAGUCCAUUCUGUAGUCAUAGAUCUAUAUUUACCACAAGUAUGCUUUGCCAGUUUUGUAUCCACAAAUCUAACCUUCUGUGUUGGAAGAACUUCAUAGUCUGUCAUUUCUGCAAAUAAUAGUCUAAUAGCUGGUCUGUUUAAAUUAUUUCUAGGAGAAAAUUGGGCUUUCUCCAAAACCUGCUGUUGGCAAGGUUGAUCCUUUAAUGCUAAAUGUGGUUAUUUGGUGAAUUUUCAGGGGUCAGGAGCGUAUCUGUUACAUUUGUCCUUACACAGAGAGUCAGUGAGGACAACUGAAUCCCUUACAUCACAUUAUCACAUUUGUGUGGUCUGAAAGGCUCAUUGAGUAUUAAGCUAUUUCUAUGGAUUUUUUGAACCAGAUUCCAAAUAAUACUGGCUGAAAAUGAAAAUUACCCUUUACCCUUCCUUUUUCUUCUUUUAUUUUAAUAAUCAAAGAAUUCAAGAGUAGGAAAGGUUACCACAUCCUUUCCUCAGCAAGAGUGGACUCCCUUUUUUCUGGAUUGCUUUUUAUUUCUUAAUGGAAAUUCGGGGGGGGGGGGAUCAUCUUCAUUGUUCAUCUUUAGUUUACGUGUAGAAAUAAAAAAGCCUAGUCUUACUUUGUUAAGUUUCCUCUUACAGAAAUGUAAAUGUUUCAGUGAUGUAAAAUUCCAUUGUAUGAUGAUAGAUUUCAUAAAUCAAAAGGAUGAGCUGUGAUGAUGUUCAUUACAUGACUAGCGAUUGGAAAGUAGAUACUAACAUUGUAUUCAAAGACCAGAAAUACAAUUCUGAAUUUUUUAUUAAUCCAGAAGGAAGUAAACUAACUGCCAUUGUGCCAUCAGACCAGAUGUCAGUAUCCGAUGCAGGGAGGUGGAAUAAUGCACUUUACUGUCAGAAGGAAGAAAGAAUCUUUGAAAUCUUAUUUGAGGAGGUAGUCAUCCUGCAUGCACGUAUUCCUAUUUCAUGCAUUCAGUCAAAACAUCACUAAUUUGGAAGUCUGGCUUAUCGUCACUUCUGUUAGAUUUGGCAAGAAGUUAUGCUUAAGGAGAACAGUUAAUCUCAAAGACAUGAACGUCUCUACAGUCUUAAGAAUACAUUCUUAAAGAAUAUAGAUCUAUCUUAAAGAAUAGAUGUAUAUCUCAAGGAAUAUAUAUACAUCUUAAUACAGAUGCAGUGCAAUGUUUUGUAAGCUAGAAUUUUGUGGUUUUAUUAUUACGAUUUUACUACUUGCUCACUUAGAUGCUCACGUUUGUAGAAAAAUGGUGCAAGCAUUACAUUUCCUAAGACAGUAUCUUCUUGAUAGUCAGAAUCACUGUCAUCGAUACUAGGCCAUUGUAUUAAAGAAUACUUCUGUUUAUUUUUUAAGAAGCAGUGCCUUAUAGUUUCCAGGCAGGAAGGUGUUAGUCCAUCAUUAUAUCUUUUUUUCAUCUCUCUUUUUUAAUUUUUAAUUUAUCAGUACUUGAAAGCCUGGUAUUCUUAAGCCCCUAAGGCAAACUCUUUGACUUCCUCUGUCUGGCAGACGGGUUUUAGCCAUGUAUUGUUUAUUAAAAUGUUUAUGCUGUCACA